rnacentral:rRNA from 1 species
AAUGAACGUUGGCGGCGUGGAUUAGGCAUGCAAGUCGAGCGAGAUCUGUAGCAAUACAGUGAAAGCGGCGAAAGGGAGAGUAAUACGUAGGUACCUGCCCUCGGGUCUGGGAUAGCUGCGGGAAACUGCAAUUAAUACCAGAUGACGUCUGAGGACCAAAGGUGUGAUUCCGCCAGGGGAUGGGCCUGCGUCCUAUCAGCUAGUUGGUGUGGUAAAGGCGCACCAAGGCAAAGACGGGUACGGGGUGUGAGAGCAUGCCCCCGCUCACUGGGACUGAGACACUGCCCAGACACCUACGGGUGGCUGCAGUCGAGAAUCUUCCGCAAUGGGCGAAAGCCUGACGGAGCGACGCCGCGUGUGGGAUGAAGGCCUUCGGGUUGUAAACCACUGUCAGUGGGGAGCAAAUGGCUAGGGGUUCUCCCCUAGUCUUGAGCGAUCCGCAGAGGAAGCACAGGCUAAUUCCGUGCCAGCAGCCGCCGUAAUAC